rnacentral:Y_RNA from 1 species
AGUUGGUCCGAGUGCAGUGGUGUUUACAAAUAAUUGAUCACAACUAGUUACAGAUUCCUUUGUUCCUUCUCCACUCUCACUGCUUCACUUGACCAGCCUUAA